GAACUGAAGAGUUUGAUCAUGGCUCAGAUUGAACGCUGGCGGUAUGCUUAACACAUGCAAGUCGAACGGUAGCGCGGAGAGCUUGCUCUCUGGCGACGAGUGGCGGACGGGUGAGUAACGCGUGGGAAUCUACCUAUUAGUGGGGGAUAACUUGGGGAAACUCAAGCUAAUACCGCAUACGGUCUACGGACUAAAGCAGGGGAUCUUCGGACCUUGUGCUAAUAGAUGAGCCCGCGUUAGAUUAGCUAGUUGGUAGGGUAAAGGCCUACCAAGGCGACGAUCUAUAGCUGGUCUGAGAGGACGAUCAGCCACACUGGGACUGAGACACGGCCCAGACUCCUACGGGAGGCAGCAGUGGGGAAUAUUGGACAAUGGGCGCAAGCCUGAUCCAGCAAUACCGCGUGUGUGAAGAAGGCCUGCGGGUUGUAAAGCACUUUCAAUUGUGAAGAAAAGUAGAUGGUUAAUACCCAUUUACCUUGACGUUAACUUUAGAAGAAGCACCGGCUAACUCCGUGCCAGCAGCCGCGGUAAUACGGAGGGUGCGAGCGUUAAUCGGAAUUACUGGGCGUAAAGCGUGCGUAGGCGGAUUGUUAAGUCAGAUGU
rnacentral:rRNA from 1 species